AUCCCCUUUUGGGGUCAUUGUGAUUUGGGGCCAUCACUGUGAUUUGGGGUCAUCUCUAUGUGGCGACAUCCGCAUUUGGGGUCGUUGUGAUUUGGGGUCAUCUUUGGGAUGUGGGGUCGUCUCUCUUUAGGGCCAUCAUUGGGAUUUGGGGUCAUCUCUGUUUGGGACCAUCACUGGGACUUGGGGCCAUCUCUCUUUGGGGACAUUGAUUUGGGGUCAUCCCCUUUCAGGGUCGUUGUGAUUUGGGGCCAUCAUUGUGAUUUGGGGACAUCUCUAUGUGGCGACAUCCGCAUUUGGGGUCGUUGGGAUUUGAGGCCUUCAUUGGGAUUUGGGGUCAUCUCUCUUUGGGGACAUUGAUUUGGGGUCAUCCCCUUUUGGGGUCAUUGUGAUUUGGGGCCAUCAUUGGGAUUUGGGGACAUAGAUUUGGGGUCAUCCCUAUUUGGGGUCGUUGUGAUUUGGGGCCAUCAUUGUGAUUUGGGGACAUCUCUAUGUGGCGACAUCCGCAUUUGGGGUCGUUGGGAUUUGGGGUCAUCAGUGGGAUUUGGGGUCGUCUCUCUUUGGGGCCAUCAUUGGGAUUUGGGGCCAUCAUUGGGAUUUGGGGU